AGAGUUUGAUCCUGGCUCAGAUUGAACGCUGGCGGCAUGCCUUACACAUGCAAGUCGAACGGCAGCAUGGAGAGCUUGCUCUCUGAUGGCGAGUGGCGAACGGGUGAGUAAAGCAUCGGAACGUACCGUGUAGUGGGGGAUAACGUAGCGAAAGUUACGCUAAUACCGCAUACGCACUGAGGUGGAAAGCGGGGGAUCGUAAGACCUCGCGCUAUACGAGCGGCCGAUGUCAGAUUAGCUAGUUGGUAGGGUAAAGGCCUACCAAGGCGACGAUCUGUAGCGGGUCUGAGAGGAUGAUCCGCCACACUGGGACUGAGACACGGCCCAGACUCCUACGGGAGGCAGCAGGGGGGAAUUUUGGACAAUGGGGGCAACCCUGAUCCAGCCAUGCCGCGUGAGUGAAGAAGGCCUUCGGGUUGUAAAGCUCUUUCGGCCGGGAAGAAAUCGCACAGGCUAAUACUCUGUGUGGAUGACGGUACCGGCAUAAGAAGCACCGGAUAACUACGUGCCAGCAGCCGCGGCAAUACGUAGGGUGCGAGCGUUAAUCGGAAUUACUGGGCGUAAAGCGUGCGCAGGCGGUUAGGCA
rnacentral:rRNA from 1 species